rnacentral:misc_RNA from 1 species
UUUCCGUAGGUGAACCUGCGGAGGGAUCAUUAUUGAAUGAACUUGGUAGUGGUUGUAGCUGGCUCUCCCGAGAGCAUGUGCACACCCGCCAUCUUUAUCUUUCCACCUGUGCACUUCUUGUAGACUUUGGGAUUUGAAAACUUAUCUGGGGCAACUCCGUCGGGAGGAGCUGCUGUAGCAAUACGGCUCUCGUUGACAAGUCUUCAAAGUCUACGUUUUUCAUAUACCCCAUAGUAUGUAACAGAAUGUAUACAAAUUAUCCUUAGUGCUUAUAAAACUUAUACAACUUUCAACAACGGAUCUCUUGGCUCUC